ACCGAUGGCGAAGGCAACUACCUAGAUCGGCUCUGAUGCUGAGGUACGAAAGCGUGGGGAGCAGUCAGGAUUAGAUACCCUGCUAGUCCACGCCCUGAACGAUGAAUGCUAAAUGCUGGGGAGCGAUCCUCACGGUUGAAGCUUACGCGUUAAGCAUUCCGCCUGGGGAAUACGGUCGCAAGAUUCAAACUCAAAGGAAUUGACGGGGACCCGCACAAGCGGUGGAGCAUGUGGUCUAAUUCGAUGCCACGCAGUCCAACCUUACCACACCUUGACAUGGAAGCUAUAUCUUUUUGAAGGAUAAGUGCAGUUCGGCUGGUCUUCAGACAGGUGACGCAUGGCUGUCGCUCAGCUAGUGUCGUGAGAUGUUGGGACAAGUCCCGCUACGAGCGCAACCCUGGUCCUUAUUUGCUAACAGGGUAGGCUGAGAACUAUUAAGACACUGCCAGUGAUUAACUCGCAGGAAGGCGAGGAUGAUGUCAAGUCUUCACGGCCCUUAUGGUGUGGCCUACACACGUGUUAUCAAUGGUUACUACAAUAGGCAGCAAUACCGUGAGGUGGAGCAAAUCCUCCGAAGUUACCUCAGUACAGAUUGCACUCUGCAACUCGAGUGCAUGAAGUUGGAAUCGCUAGUUAUCGCGGAUCAGCAUCCCGCGGUGAAUACGUUCUCGGGUGUUGUACACCCUGCCCGUCA
rnacentral:rRNA from 1 species